GGUGCCAUAGCUCAGUUGGUAGAGCAAAGGACUGAAAAUCCUUGUGUCCCCGGUUCGAUUCCUGGUGGCACCACUU
rnacentral:tRNA from 3 species